GAAUUAGCUACUUUAGCUCCAAAAUGACAUAAUUAGCUUAGUUAGGUAAAAAACAUCUCAAGAACCUUAGUUAGCUCAUAGCUUAGCGUAUCUUCCUCCUAAAUAACAUAAUAAGCUCAAAAUAGGAGAAGUAUUGUAAUCAUCCUAUUCCUCUUCUUCUUCUUCUCCUCCUUCUCCUUCUUCUUCUCUUUCUUCUUCUUCUCCUUCUUCCUCUUCUUCUUCUUCUUCUUCUUCUUCUUCUUCUUCUUCUUCUUCUUCUUCUUCUUCUUCUUCUUCUUCUCCUUCUACUUCUUCUUCUCCUUCUCCUCUUUAUUCUCCUCUUUCUUCUUCUCCUUAGCUUAUAUUCCCAACAAAUACAUACUUAGCUAAUUAUCCUCCAAAAUGACAUAAUUAGCUAAUUUAGCUCCAAAAUGACAUAAUUAGCUAGUUUAGCUCCAAAAUUACAUAAUUAGCUUAGUUAGGUAAAAAACAUCACAAGAACCUUGGUUAGCUCAUAACUUAGCAUAUCUUCCUCCUAAAUCACAUAAUAAGCUCAAAAUAAGAAAAUCAUUGUAAUCAUCCUCUUCCUCUUCUUCUCCUUCUCCUCCUUAUCCUUCUUCUCCUCCUCCUCCUCCUCCUCCUUCUUCUUCUCCUCCUCCUCCUCCUUCUUCUCGUCCUUCUCCUCUUUAUUCUUCUCUUUCUUCUUCUCCUUAGCUUAUUUUCCCAACAAAGACAUAC
rnacentral:lncRNA from 1 species